CACCCGUCUUCAAGCUGGCCAACAGGGCCGAGCUCCUUUCAGUCCUGCUGCUCCAACCGGCUGACCGACCCGUUUUCCCCGACUCAUUUAAUGAAGGGACAGAAGGAAUAAACGGAACAGGAAAGAAGGAGACUUGUAUCAUCCACUUGAACUUUCAUAUUCACAUACAGACAAAAUGUCAAAUCAUACUUCUUAUUGGAAUUCUCAGCAAUUUGUGGACAGAGUGAAGAAAACGCUGAAGGUAAACCCACUUCCAGAAGGAACCAGAAUGAAUUGUUUUUCAAAUGACACAUGUCCUUUAUGACCCAGCUCUUCUCAUUCUCAUCGCCAUCCUUUUCUGUGGUGGCCACAUAUUACGUCACGUGCCACUGUUCAUCUCCAAACUCCCAUCAAAUAAUCAAAAUCCAAUCACAAAAAUUAACCCUCAUUUCCCCAGCUCUAGCCACGAAGGGUCGUGAUGCUCACUUUGCCCAGUCUUACCAUCCAACGGCUCUGAUUUACGUCGGAGCCGGUCUCAUUGUCCUUCGAUUGUUCUUGAUGCUUAUUCCCUUCAUUCCCUUCUUCCUCCUC
rnacentral:lncRNA from 1 species